CAGCCGCCGCGGUAAUACCGGCGGCCCGAGUGGCGGCCACUAUUAUUGGGCUUAAAGCGUCCGUAGCCGGGUUGGUUAGUCUCCCGGGAAAUCUGGCCGCUUAACGGUCAGACUUCCGGAGGAUACUGCUGGCCUAGGGACCGGGAGAGGCCGAGGGUAUUCCCGGGGUAGGGGUGAAAUCCUGUAAUCCCGGGAGGACCACCUGUGGCGAAGGCGCUCGGCUGGAACGGGUCCGACGGUGAGGGACGAAGGCCAGGGGAGCGAACCGGAUUAGAUACCCGGGUAGUCCUGGCUGUAAACGAUGCGGACUAGGUGUCGGGCAAGCUAAGGGCUUGUCCGGUGCCGCAGGGAAGCCGUUAAGUCCGCCGCCUGGGGAGUACGGCCGCAAGGUUGAAACUUAAAGGAAUUGGCGGG
rnacentral:rRNA from 1 species